GGCCCUGAGCGGAGCCUCCGCGCCGCGCUGCGUUCCCGCAGAGCGACUAUGGCCGGGGGAAGGCGAGGGCUGGUGGCGCCUCAGAACACGUUCCUGGAGAACAUCGUGCGAAGGUCCAACGAUACUAAUUUCGUCUUGGGUAAUGCCCAGAUAGUGGAUUGGCCCAUUGUCUAUAGCAACGAUGGAUUUUGCAAGUUAUCAGGAUAUCACAGAGCAGAAGUUAUGCAAAAAAGCAGCACCUGCAGUUUUAUGUAUGGAGAGCUGACAGACAAAGAUACAAUUGACAAGGUCCGGCAAACAUUUGAGAACUAUGAGAUGAACUCCUUUGAAAUCUUGAUGUACAAGAAGAACAGAACACCUGUAUGGUUCUUUGUGAAAAUUGCUCCAAUUCGAAAUGAGCAGGAUAAAGUGGUUUUAUUUCUUUGCACUUUCAAUGACAUAACGGCUUUCAAGCAGCCCAUUGAGGAUGAUUCAUGUAAAGGUUGGGGGAAGUUUGCUCGCUUGACUCGUGCCCUCACGAGCAGCCGAGGUGUCCUGCAGCAGCUCGCUCCCAGCGUCCAGAAAGGAGAGAAUGUUCACAAGCAUUCGAGACUUGCUGAGGUGUUGCAGCUGGGCUCUGAAAUCCUCCCACAGUACAAGCAAGAGGCACCAAAGACUCCACCACAUAUAAUUUUGCAUUAUUGCGUUUUCAAGACCACCUGGGACUGGAUCAUCUUGAUUUUAACCUUCUACACUGCUAUUUUGGUUCCUUACAAUGUCUCCUUCAAAACCAAACAGAACAACGUGGCAUGGCUAGUAGUUGACAGCAUUGUGGAUGUCAUUUUUCUGGUCGACAUUGUGCUCAAUUUCCACACAACCUUUGUGGGGCCGGCAGGAGAGGUGAUCUCUGACCCCAAACUGAUUCGCAUGAAUUACUUGAAGACCUGGUUUGUGAUCGAUCUGCUCUCGUGCUUGCCCUAUGAUGUCAUCAAUGCAUUUGAGAAUGUCGAUGAGGGCAUCAGCAGCCUCUUCAGUUCCCUUAAAGUGGUCAGGCUACUUCGGCUGGGUCGUGUAGCUCGGAAGUUGGACCACUACAUUGAGUACGGAGCAGCAGUCUUGGUUCUGCUGGUGUGUGUGUUUGGUCUUGCUGCACACUGGCUGGCCUGCAUCUGGUACAGCAUCGGAGACUAUGAAGUUAUCGAUGAGGAUACGAACACCAUCCGAACGGAGAGCUGGCUCUAUCAGCUGGGGGCGUCAAUAGGAACUCCCUACCGCUUUAACACAUCCGGCUUUGGCAAAUGGGAAGGCGGACCAAGCAAAGAUUCGGUCUACAUCUCCUCCUUGUAUUUUACAAUGACCAGCCUCACCAGUGUUGGAUUUGGGAACAUCGCUCCGACUACGGAUGGGGAGAAGAUCUUUGCUGUUGCUAUGAUGAUGAUUGGCUCCCUUCUGUAUGCCACCAUUUUUGGUAAUGUGACAACCAUAUUUCAGCAAAUGUACGCUAAUACAAACAGAUACCAUGAAAUGCUGAACAGUGUCCGGGACUUCCUAAAGCUCUACCAGGUCCCUAAAGGACUGAGUGAACGUGUGAUGGAUUACAUCGUUUCCACCUGGUCAAUGUCCAGAGGAAUAGAUACUGAAAAGGUUUUGCAGAUAUGCCCUAAGGACAUGAGAGCAGAUAUCUGUGUGCAUCUGAACCGCAAAGUCUUCAAGGAGCACCCAGCCUUCAGGCUGGCGAGCGAUGGGUGCCUGCGAGCGCUCGCCAUGGAAUUUCAGACAGUGCACUGUGCUCCAGGAGACCUGAUCUACCACGCCGGAGAGAGCGUCGACAGCCUUUGCUUUGUGGUUUCGGGGUCUUUGGAAGUAAUCCAGGAUGACGAAGUCGUUGCUAUUUUGGGCAAAGGAGACGUUUUUGGUGAUGUGUUCUGGAAGGAGUCUACCCUCGCCCAGUCCUGUGCUAAUGUAAGGGCUUUGACUUACUGUGAUCUUCAUGUGAUUAAGAGAGAUGCUUUGCAGAAAGUGCUGGAGUUCUACACAGCCUUUUCCCACUCCUUCUCUAGAAAUCUCAUUUUGACCUACAACUUGAGAAAAAGGAUUGUGUUCCGGAAAAUCAGCGACGUCAAACGUGAAGAGGAGGAGAGGAUGAAGAGGAAGAACGAAGCACCUCUGAUCUUACCCCCGGACCACCCGGUUCGCCGGCUGUUCCAGAGGUUCAGGCAGCAGAAGGAAGCGCGGCUUGCAGCAGAGAGGGGCCGAGAUCCGGACGACCUGGAUGUGGAAAAGGGCAAUGCUCUAGGGGAGCAAUCCGCUGCUCGCUCGGUGGUCAAAGCCAGCGUCGUGACUGUACGGGAGAGUCCGGCGACCCCUGUGUCCUACCAGCCCGCGUCGACCUCUGGGGCCUCCGACCAGGCAAAGCUGCAGGCCCCAACACUGGACCACGCAGGGUGUAAAGCCUCGGGGGACUAUCCCCGACGGAAAGGCUGGGCCAAAUUCAAGGAAGCCUGUGGGAAAGGUGAAGACUGGAACAAGGUCUCUAAAGCAGAGUCCAUGGAGACUUUACCAGAGAGAACUAAAGCUUCAGGAGAAGCUACCCUGAAGAAGACAGACUCUUGUGACAGUGGCAUUACGAAAAGUGACUUGCGCUUGGAUAACGCUGGGGAGACGAGAAGCCCACAGGACCACAGUCCGGUCCUCACUGAGGUCAAGCACUCCUUUUAUCCCAUCCCAGAACAGACUCUUCAGGCCACCAUGCUAGAAGUGAAGCAUGAGUUGAAAGAGGACAUCAAGGCUUUAAACACAAAAAUGACCAAUAUAGAAAACCAGCUUGCUGAGAUACUUAGGAUAUUGACCUCAAGAAGAAGCUCCCAGUCGCCACAGGAGUUGUUUGAAAUAUCAAGGCCCCAGUCUCCAGAAUCAGAAAAAGACAUGUUUGGAGCUAGCUGAGGUGUUUCUUUUAAAAAACAAACAAACCAAUAAACAAAGGAACAGCCCCCUAACACUUUACAUUUAACCUUUCUAGAAAACGAGUGAGGGGCCAGUUCACUAAGCAUGUUCCCUCUGUCUAAAAAGGUAUGGUAACAGGAAUUGCAACCUCAUGUCAAGAUGGCAGCUGACUUUGAAGCCUUUUUGACAGCAAGGGUACAGUUUCUGAAGUUUUUAUUUUCUCCCUCGGUGCCCAUUCCCCCUGACUCCCUCUCUUUCCCUCGGGAUGUUGGAAUAAGAAUUCUGACAGCAGCAGCCGUUCCUGUGAGCCCCAGGUGACCUCUGAGGUUUUUGGAGCAUGCCUUACGUCCUUCGCUCGGGUUUUGCCUAUGUGAAUAAGCACUUGCAGGGUGCUUAUAUUUUCAGCAUUUGUGCUGCCCUGAAUCCCAGCGAACACCCUGUUUAACAGCUUGGAAGGUGACGUUCUGUUUCUACAGUACUUCCCUUUAAUGACCUGAACAAGAUAUUGACUGUGACUAUCUGGUGAUAUAUUUUCAAUCAUUCUUAACCAAUCUGUGAAAAAAAAUCAGUACAUAAUUUGUCUUUACUAUAUAAACAAUGUGUAUGAUUACGCUCGUGCAGAUGCGUGUACAUACACACAUAUAUAUAAUAUCAGUGUACAGUGAGUCUAUGGAUUGCAUUUCUGUUAAGUAAAAGUACGUUCCUCAUUUUAUGAUUCCAGUUCAAGAAGGGAGCUUAAAUCUUCCCAGUAGACAUCCACAGAAUAUCCUAGUUAGUGUCUUGUUUGUUAACUGUUGAACUUUUAAGGCCAUGAUUUUUGAAUUUUCUAGUUGGCCUCUAAUUCAUACUGUGAGUGUAGUAAAUAGUGUGACUGAGAGAAGAUCUGACAAAGGGUCAUGAUAAUCAGAAAGAGAAAUCCACAUGAAAUUGGAGAAACACUGUAUUCUAGUUAGUGAGGAUAAGGCUCAUAAGCCGAUAUUUGUUGUUCACAGUAUCUUUGAAGCCAAGAUGCCCUGGUAGUGUUUCUCAUGGCUUCUGCAAGAGAGAUGAUGGAAUAAAUGGAGUUAUUUUUCCUGGUGCCAGGGGCUGCCUCAAAGGUGCUGAGCCUAUCUUUCUCCUCAUGGGCAGCAUAACACAUGGUUGCUGCACCUCUGCUUUCCUGUCCUGGUGUUAGGCGGUAAAAAGCAUCGUCUACUGAAUUCUUCAUUUCCACGUAGUCUCCUGUGGGUGUAUUGGCAAUAACAAAGUCUGUGUUUUAGCUGCACUUAUGAUUCAUUAAGACAAACAUUUUAGAGAGAGUCUCAUCCAGGGGAACCUCCAGAAGUUUGAGGUGAGGCACAGUAGGAUACUGUAUCCUCCAGUCCAAUAUAGUUUUGACCACAUUGUUGUGGCAAGCAUUGAUUCAAUUAAAUAAAAAUAAAGCUUUUUUUGCAAUAAGAUAUAUCCAGCAUUUAGCCUUAAGACCCUUUCAUAAGUGAUAUAAUUCAAACUGUGAUUCCAUUUUCCUUCCUUCUUAAUGUUCUUUAGUAUUUACAGUGUUGCCUAAAGAUGAAGCACUUUGAUUAGCUUUCUAAAUCUAAUGGAAAUCACUUGCUGGUAAUCACAUUUCUUUCUCCACUGAUUGCCUUCUUAUUAGGAUAAUGAAUUACUCCAAUAGCCCUCUCCCCUCAUAAAGUAAAGAGACACAGCUAUUGUCUAAACACUUUUGUACAUCAGGGAGCCAACCCGUCAUACUGCAAAAGUGUUGGUUUCAAAGAUGUUUUUUUUACAGUUCAACAAAGCUAAUGUGAAUUUACCUGCAACUGUAAUUUGUUUCAAGCUGAUUGUUGAGUGUUGUGUAAACAUAUUUGAUGUGUAAUCCCAGAACACCUCUGUAACUGGAUCUAAAUGCCUAAUGUUAACAAAACAGUUCGGGGUUUUCAGUAACUGUUCUGGAAGGCUCAUGGUUUUCUUUCUUCUUCCCACUAAAUCUGUGACCACUAACAUAGAAAAAGAGUCAUUUUAGCUGUAGAUGAAAGAAGUUCAAUAAUCUUGUAUCAGGAUGAACUGCUAUA